GAUGAACGCUAGCGGCAGGCCUAAUACAUGCAAGUCGAACGAGAUUGGUAGCAAUACCAUGAAAGUGGCGCACGGGUGCGUAACACGUAUGCAAUCUACCUUUAAUUGGAGGAUAGCCUCGAGAAAUCGGGAUUAAUACUCCAUAACAUUAUGAAGUGGCAUCACUAUAUAAUUAAACCUCCGGGGAUUAAAGAUGAGCAUGCGCAACAUUAGCUAGUUGGUAAGGUAAUGGCUUACCAAGGCUACGAUGUUUAGGGGUCG
rnacentral:rRNA from 1 species